rnacentral:rRNA from 1 species
AGCGAACGCUGGCGGCGUGUUUAAGACAUGCAAGUCGCACGGGAUAAGACAUGUAGUAAUACUUGUUUUAUUUAGUGGCGCACGGGUGAGUAACACGUGAAUUACAUGCCCUAUAGUGGGGAAUAGCCCAGGGAGACUUGGAUUAAUACCCCAUGGUAUCGAAAGAUUAAAGGUGGCCGCAAGGCUGUCGCUAUAGGAUUGGUUCGCGCCCUAUCAGCUUGUUGGUGAGGUAACGGCUCACCAAGGCAAUGACGGGUACCUGGUCUGAGAGGACGAUCAGGCACACUGGAACUGAGACACGGUCCAGACACCUACGGGUGGCAGCAGUCGAGAAUAAUUCACAAUGGGGGCAACCCUGAUGGUGCAACGCCGCGUGGAGGAUGACGGUCUUCGGAUUGUAAACUCCUGUCAUCUGGGAGAAAGACCUGACGGUAAAUAGCCGGCAGGGUUGAUAGUACCAGAAGAGGAAGGGACGGCUAACUUCGUGCCAGCCGCCGCGGUAA